AUGUGCCAUCCCAUCAUUUUAUCCCUGUGCCAUCCCAUCAUUUUAUCCCUGUGCCGUCCCAUCCAUGUUCUAUCCCAUCCAUGUAUCCCUGUGCCAUCCCAUUAUUUUAUCCCUGUGCCGUUCCACCCCUUCAGUUCAUCCAGGUUUUACCCCAUCAAUCCAUCCUUGUGCCAUCCCAUUCAUGUAUCCCUGUUCUAUCCAAUUCUUUUAUCCACUUGCCAUCCCAUCCUUUUAUCGUCCAUCCUUGUGCCAUCCCAUUCAUGUACCCUGUUCUAUCCAAUCCUUUUAUCCACUUGCCAUCCCAUCCUUUUAUCCCAGUACCAUCCUAUUAUUUUAUCCCUGUCCCAUUCCACCCAUUAUUUUUAUCCCUGCCAUUCCAAUCAUGCAUUCAUGUUCUAUCCCAUCCACGUAUCCCCGUGCCAUCCCAUCAUUUUAUCCACGUGCCAUCCCAUCCGUGUUCCAUCCCAUCAAUUCAUCCAGAUUCUAACCCAUCUAUCCAUCCUUGUGACAUUCCAUCCACGUCCAUCCAAUCCCUCCAGUUCUAUCCAAUCCUUUUAUCCACUUGCCAUCCCAUCCUUUUAUCCCAGUACCAUCCCAUCCUUUUAUCCCAGUGCCAUCCUAUUCUUUUAUCCCUGUCCCAUUCCAUCCAUGCAUUCGUGUUCUAUCCCAUCCCUGUGUCAUCCCAUCCUUUUAUCCCUGUGCCAUCCCAUCCUUUUAUCCCUGUGCCAUCCCAUGAUUUUAUCCCUGUGCCAUCCCAUUAUUUUAUCCCAGUGCCAUCCCAUGAUUUUAUCCCUGUGCCAUCCAAUCCAUGCAUCCCUGUGCCAUCCCUGUGCUAUCCCCUCAGAGAACCCUGUCCCAUUCCAUCCAUGCAUUUGUGUUCUAUCCCAUCCAUGCAUCCCAGUGCCGUCCCAUUAUUUUAUCCCAGUGCAAUCCCAUUAUUUUAUCCCAGUGACAUCCCAUCCUUUUAUCCCAGUGCCAUCCCAUGAUUUUAUCCCUGUGCCAUCCCCUCAGAGAACCCUGUCCCAUUCCAUCCAUGCUUUUGUGUUCUAUCCCAUCCAUGUAUCCCAGUGCCAUCCCAUUAUUUUAUCCCAGUGACAUCCCAUGAUUUUAUCCCAGUGCCAUCCUAU
rnacentral:lncRNA from 1 species